AAUAAUUUAGCUUAAUUAAAGCAUUCAAUUUGCAUUCAAAUGAUGCAAGAUAGAGGCUUGUAAUUCUUA
rnacentral:tRNA from 1 species